UUGGUGCACGCUCCCAGCCAUGACGUACCUAUGACGUGUGUGGCUUUUCCCGCCAGCUUGUGUGUGUCUGGCCAAUGCGAACACGGCACGUCACGGUGUGGGGGAGGGGGAAACACAAGGCUGAAGGCGGUGGCAGUUUAGUUUUGGUGUAACUCUCACGGGAAGCAGAUGGAGUGUGAAUACUAUUACUGGAAUGAUUUUACCGCAAUAUUACGUUUGCAAGACAAUAUAGCGGUCCAGUUUGUGUUCGUACGGCUUUUCACAACAGUUUGCAUAGUGCCUGGAGUGUGACAGACCUUGGUUCCGUGGUGUGUGGUGUGCUGCGGGAGUGAGCGGCCCUUGAGGUGCUGCACUGGUUGUGACGCCGUGGCGGGCUGCUGGCUGGCUGGGGUGUCAAUGGAAGCACUUAGGUGUGACUCCCGUGACUGUCUCAGUAGUGCUUCUGAGACAUGAACUGGCAGCGACGGUCGACUCGUUGCUUCAGAGACAGUAUUGCUGCAGCACGAACUUCUUUGAAACAUCAUAUUCUCAAACACCUCACCGUCUUAACACGACCACUUCUGGCAUGCUGUGGUUCGAAUCCCUUCUGAAUCACCCGGUGCCAGUUCGAAACCACGGAUUCACUGGUGGCGUUCAGUCCAAAUCAGUGGUGCUCGUGUUCUCUGUGCGUGGAGGUGUGGUGGAGCUCUCUGCUGAAGCAAGCCCGCCAGGUAAGGAGCCGCCGAGUGUUACCUGAGGCGCCGGCAGGUAACACCCCUCACACAACGACGCUAGAAAGGAAGAAAGGGAAGGAAGAAAGGAGGAAAGAAAACGGGAGACAGAUAAUGAUAAUAAUACCAACCCCUGCCGCCUUCCUAUCACCUUAAGUCCACAACAAAAGCGACAAUUAAGGCAAGAUUUUCAGACUUGUGGACUCCUCAAAGACUCCUCGUGGUGGUGGCGAAGAGAAUAAAGGCUGUUUUACUUCCCUUGCUGACGGUAAGUACUUCUCUUUGUACUUGUU